UAGGGAAUCUUCGGCAAUGGACGAAAGUCUGACCGAGCAACGCCGCGUGAGUGAAGAAGGUUUUCGGAUCGUAAAACUCUGUUGUUAGGGAAGAACAAGGACGUUAGUAACUGAACGUCCCCUGACGGUAUCUAACCAGAAAGCAACGGCUAACUACGUGCCAGCAGCCGCGGUAAUACGUAGGUGGCAAGCGUUGUCCGGAUUUAUUGGGCGUAAAGCGAGCGCAGGCGGUUUCUUAAGUCUGAUGUGAAAGCCCCCGGCUCAACCGGGGAGGGUCAUUGGAAACUGGGAGACUUGAGUGCAGAAGAGGAGAGUGGAAUUCCAUGUGUAGCGGUGAAAUGCGUAGAUAUAUGGAGGAACACCAGUGGCGAAGGCGGCUCUCUGGUCUGUAACUGACGCUGAGGCUCGAAAGCGUGGGGAGCAAACAGG
rnacentral:rRNA from 1 species